UCAGGAUCAUUUAUUAUUAUUCUAUUAUAUGAUUCUUUGUUGUAAAUGAUAUCGUGACUUUCGCAAUAUCUGAGCAAACAAACGUCAAAUAAACAAUGAGAGAUUCCGUCCGUUGACCGAUUAAACGUGCCGGCGAUUCACGACCUAGAAAUAGUUAACAUCGUCCAAGAAUUAAACACAAGUUAACUAAAAGUGGAGCCCAGAUGAUAAUAAUAAUAAUAAUACAGACUAAUAUUUAAAAAAUACAUCAGUGUCCGAGUCUGCGGAAGUCGACUGAAAUUGGUAUUACCGUUAGUAAAUGCUCGUGUAUUUAUCGGCCGAUAAAUUUACAAACUGCCAUUGUACGUCGGCUAUUUAUUCAAGAUAAUAUAUUUUAAAUAAUUAUCUUUUUAAAUAACGCGGGGACUUUUUAAAUUUAAAAACUUGGAGCAAGACUUUGGACGGCUAAUUAGUUUGUCUAAUUAAACUUUGGUUAAAUUGAAUGUUUAUAUUUAUUGUAAAAACAAUUAUACUCGACUAGGGAAUUUGUCUAUUUGUCUAUAGACAUUUAUGCUGUGAAAGUCUAGCAAGAGAAGUGCAGUAGCCAGCACCUUGACACGGUGAGCACUGAAGAGCUCUCAGGAUAUCUGGUAUCGUGCCAACUUGUUUAACUUCUACACUACAUUCUGUACUAAAAUGUUACACUAUUUGUUACAACUACCAUAUUAUCACAGUAUAACUGUAUAACUUCCGGUUAAAAUACCGGGCCCUUAGACUUGAACUUACACUCGAGUUUAAAUUAGCCCGCAAAUUAUUAAAAAAAAAAGAAACGAUAAAUGACGCAGGUAUGCAACAAGUAACUACUACUCGUACUACCGUCGACGUACGUUUGAACACGGUGACGUCACAGCAAUAUGACGCAUGUCCUCCCAUCACAUACCUCAGCAGCAUCGGGAUCUGUACUACACUUCUGAAUGACAUGAUUCCCAGUCAAUGGAGAGAAGACAAUAAAAGGUAGCGAGAGACGUUUACUGGAUACAGAUUAUGUAAACAGACAUGAGUAAACGAUAUAAAAAAUGAUAAUUAAAGGAGAGAAGAAAGAGCUCAGCUCAAAGGAGAUAAAGAAAAUAAAAGAGAUUGAGAUCUUACAAAGGCGGUCUCGAGCUACAAUCAAACGCGGUGGCGCGAGACUAUUAAAAAGUUGCUACUCCCAGACAGUGUUAAGUUAAAUGCUCUUAUUGCAUUACAAUACUCUAUAUAUUUUAUUUUAAAAUUCAUUAAACUUUGUUUUAUUAUACCCAAGUUAAAUAUUAUACUUGAGCAUAUGGUUUUUUAUUUGCGCAAGCAUAAUCUACCAGAAAAUAUUAUUUUUAACUGCUCAAUUAAGUGUUUUUGACACUUGUCAAAAUACCGUGAAAUUAAUAAAUGUAAUACAUGUGGAAGUUAAUGAGAUAAAUUUAUGAUGACGGAGGGUGAUGGAGAUGAUGAUAAAACUAGAGAAGAGUAAAGAAGGAAUAAGAUGAUGAAGAAAAGAAAAGAUAUGAUAAUGAUAAACGUAUGGUUAAGAGUACAUUAGAGGAAGAUUGCACACGUACGGAUAUAUUUAGCGAGUGCGGUAUUUCUCGACCCACAUACACAUGAGAAGGCAGAAUGCCACGUAUGUCGGGGUCAUCCGGCUCGAAAACCUCGCGACAAAGGAAUUACUUUUGUGAUAUAGUUUACAAGUUGACGAAAAAUGCUAAUCAUGAUAAACAAUUUUUAUUUUUUUAAAAUAUAUUUAACUCUCUUUUAUUUUACCCUCUUAUUCUUAUUCUCAUUUUAUUAUAAUUUUUAUUUUCUUUACUUAUUUGCAGUUCGUUGGCCACUCGUCACCUUGAAGCCAGAGCAACCUUUUUUACUUUUCUUUAUCUCCAUAUCGUCGUCUACAUUUUUAUUGCCUUAUAACUUUAUUAUAAUUUUUAUUUACAAACUAACCGAGUGG